AAUAGACCCUAUCAAGGUUAUUGGCCGCCAUCUUGGACUGGGGGCAAACAUUGGGGGCUGACGUCACAAAAACAAUGGCCGACGCGAGGCGAAGCGAGAACGGAUCAGCAAAAUAAACCGCCGCGUGUUGUUUAUCUUCGAUGUAACAACUGUAAAUAACUAUGCACAAAAGACUCUCAGCAAGUUAACAUUGAGAGCAAGUCAUACCAGUAUCAGAGAGCCAAGAGCCGUAAAUACAAAGGCCUAUACAUAAAGAAAGAAUGCCUUAAAAGUUUUCCACAAGACAUCGCUGUAUUUAUUAAUGACAGCCAACAAACUGUAACUAGACAGUGGCCUAGGGCAAAUGCCCAUCUACCAUUGCCAAUCUGCUACUGGACUGACUUUCUGCCAGUUACAGCUGUUGACCAGAUAGCCGACAAACUGUAACUAAACAGUGGCCUAGGGCAAAUGCCCAUCUACCAUUGCCAAUCUGCUACUGGACUGACUUUCUGCCAGUUACAGCUGUCGACCAGAUAGCCGACAAACUGCAACAAGACAUUGGCUAGGGCAAAGCUGGAAACACCCAUCUGCCAUUGCCAGCCUACUACUGGACUGACAUUAUGCCAGUUACAGCUGUCGACCAGGCCAUAUGAUGAGUUUUCCCAGUUCUAGACGAAGUAAGCGAGUCCAAGUAAAAAAAAUGCUGCUGACAGUUGCAUCAGAAAUGUUGAAUCUAAAUGCAAGGUCAUGAACUAAAAGACCAAGUCUUAAUCUCAUCAAUACCAGCAACAACUCAAGCUCUAGAGAUAGUUUUCUUCUUGGACCAGGGCGUUUGAAGGAGUUGUCCCACUGAUGGCAUCAGACAAGGUUAAAAACAAAGUGGGAUAGGGAUUCUCACUGGUGGGCAUACCAUCUGAAAAGUGGUUUGAACAUACACGUAUGCCAUUGCCUGGAAUAUAAUCCUGACGACCUUUUAAUAUUUGAGAAUUCCAUUUUUUCCUCAUAAUUUCAUCAGAUGGAAGUUUAUGAAAUUUAAGAGUAUGAACAUGUGAUUUGAUAUCAUAAUUUUGGGGAUAUCUCCUGUCAUUGUUGCAAGGACCAACUGCACACCUAUCACCUCCUCCCAUGUUUGUUUAGUUGAAUAUUAAUUAUAUAUAAAGAUGAAAUUUGACCCUCUGAUACUAGCAGACUUAACUAGGACAUGAUUUUUUUUUAUUGAGAUACAUGUAUAUAUAAAUAGAAGUUUAUAAACUAAAUCAAGUUGAAGGAAGGGUACAGUGAUCUGCAAGGGAAAA